GAAGUAGGACCUGAGAAUUAAAAUAGAUUUACAGACCCACAGCACAGAAGGGAAAGAUGGAGCCUAUGGAUCCCUCAUUUCUAUCAUCAAAUGAUGAGUUUUGUCCAGGAUAUCCUCCUUGACAUUGGUGAAUACAUCUAUCUGGCCUUUGUCCUAGCCUACAUUAAGAUCGUUUUUGUGGUGGUGAUGGUGGUGGUGGUUGACGGUGGAGAUCUCGAUUCUGUCAUCUGAUGGUUAGCUAUCCUUCCCAGAAAUGUACCACUGGAAAAUCUGAUGAGUUUGUAACAGUGACCACAAAACCAGUAGAGUACUGCCUGGCAGAGACCACAUGAAAUCCACGGAUGGCAAACUCAGCAAGAACCACACAACGACAAGAGCAGAAGACCUUGGUGGGCCUACAGUGUCAGAUCCAUGUGCCCGUCUACAUGUUUCCCCAACAUGUGUGAACUCUUCCCACUAAUAGCACGUGUAUUUCAGGGGGGCGUUACCAUGAUGGAAAUAUUCCAUCACCAUGCUAUUUGAUUAAAUGCCUUUAAUUUGAAUUGUGUUAGUUGAUUGAACCAGGAAAAGUGAAGCUAUCAGUGGAGACUUGUGAACUAUAUUUUUUUUUUCUGAGUGGAUAGAAAAUCAUAGAGUAUUUUGAGCCUUUGAUAGCCUUCUCUUGGGGCCCUGUUGGGUGCUAGAACUCCCUUUUGCUCAGGGCAGUUAAGAAUAUUCUCUAAGUAACUGUCUGUGAGUUAGAAAAAUCACUGCUCCAACUUCUGCUCCUGACAUCUCUUCAAGAUGGCCACCCGUCACAUUAUCUAGCAGAGGUUCCCAAACGUAUUUGGCCUA